GGCCCUCCUACUACCUGCACCGGCCUGGUGCUGAGCCAUGGGUGGGGCAAGAACGAACUUCUAGGUCUCGGCUCCACGAAGCUCAAUGUACGAUCGAUGCAGGCAGAGGGAAGAGAACAGCAGUGAAACCUUCGUUAUUGAUUGAUUUGACGGAAUAUCUUUUUCCAGGGUCCAUUUUUUUUUUUUUUGCAAAAUAGACAUCGUACCAUUUUCGUUUGUAUUUGUCAAAUAUUGUCCAAUCAUAAACUAACUGGGCUCAAAAAAUUCGUCUCGCAAAUUACAGAUAAAUUGUGUAACUAUUUAUUUAUUUUAUCUACAUUUAAUAUUUUAUGUACGUGCCACAAGAUUUGAUAUGACGAAAAAACUAAAAAAUUUUGCAAUUUUUUUUAAACUAAACAAGGCCUUACACAGGGAAACAGUGCACUGAACUCGUUCAGAAGUUCAGAGUGACUACACACGUUGGCCCGAAUCUCAAAGCACCUGACUUGUAAAAGGUGAUGAAUUGUGGGCUACAGACCCAUUCGCCGGGGUAUGUAUCCAAGUCUCCAAGUCUCUUCUCUCCCUAGCUCUGCUAUUGUUUCGUUCUUUGAUUUCUUGUCCAGCGCGUCCGUACCACCUGGAUCUGAUGAAUUAUUUCGGGCAGAUCAUCUGCUGUCUGGAUAAACUGGUUAUUUGACUAUCCUGAACGUCUGUUGUCUGCUGUCUUGUCCUGAUUAUUUCUAAUAGAUCGUCUGCUGUCUGAAUAAACUGGUUAUUUGACUGUCCUGAUUAUUUUUAGUAGACCGUGUGCUGUCUGCUGUCUGAAUAAACUGGUUAUUUCACUGUCCUGAUUAUUUCUAGUAGAUCGUCUGUUGUCUGCUGUCUAAAUAAGUUGGUUAUUUGACUGUCCUGAUUAUCUGUUGUCUGCUGUCUGAAUAAGCUGGUUAUUUGGCUGUCCUAAUUAUUUCUAGUAGAUCGUCUAUUCUGAAUAAGCUGGUUAUUUGAUUAUCCUGAUUAUUUCUAGUAGAUCGUCUGUUGCCUGUUGUCCACUGUGUGAAUAAGCUGAUUAUUUGACUGUUCUGGUUAUUUCUAGUAGAUCAUCUGUUGUCCGAAUAGGCUGGUUGUUAAACUGUCCUGAUUAUUCCUAGUAGAUCAUCUAGGGGGUAUUUAGUUGGGCUCCUAAGCUGGCUUUUAGCUUGGUUGGGCCAGAUUUAUGUUGUUUGGUUCCCAGGCCAUCCAAUUGGCCACCCGUACGUCUGGAGCUAGACCCGGAAAGAAACAUC
rnacentral:lncRNA from 1 species